rnacentral:rRNA from 1 species
GAUGAACGCUGGCGGCGUGCCUAAUACAUGCAAGUCGAGCGAACAGACGAGAGUGCUUGCACUCUCUGACGUUAGCGGCGGACGGGUGAGUAACACAUGGGUAACCUACCUAUAAGACUGGGAUAACUUCGGGAAACCGGAGCUAAUACCGGAUAAUAUUUAGCUUCGCAUGAAGCAAUAGUGAAAGACGGUUCUGCUGUCACUUAUAGAUGGACCCGCGGUGUAUUAGCUAGUUGGUGAGGUAACGGCUCACCAAGGCAACGAUACAUAGCCGACCUGAGAGGGUGAUCGGCCACACUGGGACUGGGACACGGCCCAGACUCCUACGGGAGGCAGCAGUAGGGAAUCUUCCGCAAUGGACGAAAGUCUGACGGAGCAAUGCCGCGUGAGUGAAGAAGGUUUUCGGAUCGUAAAACUCUGUUGUAAGGGAAGAACAAGUACGUUAGUAACUGAACGUACCUUGACGGUACCUGACCAGAAAGCCACGGCUAACUACGUG